CAGCCGCCGCGGGAAUACAAAGGGUGCGAGCGUUAAUCGGAUUUACUGGGCGUAAAGCGUGCGUAGGCGGCUUCUUAAGUCGGAUGUGAAAUCCCUGAGCUUAACUUAGGAAUUGCAUUCGAUACUGGGAAGCUAGAGUAUGGGAGAGGAUGGUAGAAUUCCAGGUGUAGCGGUGAAAUGCGUAGAGAUCUGGAGGAAUACCGAUGGCGAAGGCAGCCAUCUGGCCUAAUACUGACGCUGAGGUACGAAAGCAUGGGGAGCAAACAGGAUUAGAUACCCCAGUAGUCCCUGUCUCUUAUAC
rnacentral:rRNA from 1 species